CAGGCCUAACACAUGCAAGUCGAGCGGAAACGAGUUAUCUGAACCUUCGGGGAACGAUAACGGCGUCGAGCGGCGGACGGGUGAGUAAUGCCUAGGAAAUUGCCCUGAUGUGGGGGAUAACCAUUGGAAACGAUGGCUAAUACCGCAUGAUGCCUACGGGCCAAAGAGGGGGACCUUCGGGCCUCUCGCGUCAGGAUAUGCCUAGGUGGGAUUAGCUAGUUGGUGAGGUAAGGGCUCACCAAGGCGACGAUCCCUAGCUGGUCUGAGAGGAUGAUCAGCCACACUGGAACUGAGACACGGUCCAGACUCCUACGGGAGGCAGCAGUGGGGAAUAUUGCACAAUGGGCGCAAGCCUGAUGCAGCCAUGCCGCGUGUAUGAAGAAGGCCUUCGGGUUGUAAAGUACUUUCAGUCGUGAGGAAGGCGUUGUCGUUAAUAGCGGCAUCGUUUGACGUUAGCGACAGAAGAAGCACCGGCUAACUCCGUGCCAGCAGCCGCGGUAAUACGGAGGGUGCGAGCGUUAAUCGGAAUUACUGGGCGUAAAGCGCAUGCAGGUGGUUUGUUAAGUCAGAUGUGAAAGCCCGGGGCUCAACCUCGGAAUAGCAUUUGAAACUGGCAGACUAGAGUACUGUAGAGGGGGGUAGAAUUUCA
rnacentral:rRNA from 1 species